AAUAACAUGACCAAUCAAGUGCUCAUGAUCAUUCGGAUUAAAAGUUGUGCAUUUUUAUUGCAACAAGUUCCAUCUACAAGACAAGCACAAGACCUACAAUGUAAUAAAGAGGGCCAGGGCUCUUCAUCACAGAAUGAUUCCAGGGAUGAUAGAGGGAGGUGGUGAAGCAUUGUCAUCAACCAUGACCAUACAAUCAACAUGAAGCACAAGAACUGCAAGGUCACAAGGAGAGCAUUGAACAGAGAAUUGAAAGAGCCCAAACAAGCUAAAAAUGCCAAUUUGAGAGCACAGAUAAUACAACAGAGGGAACAAAAACAACAAGGUCCACAUAGAAGAACAAACAACAACUAUACGUAGAUAUCCUUAGAGAGGUCAUCCUUAAGGACUGCAUUCAUCAUGUCCACCUAAUAAAAUGGCAAAUUGCAAUGCUUUGGCAAAAGGCUUUAUUAUAACCAAGGUUCAAGCACCAAUGCCUGUUGGGGCACCGGCACAUGUUGCACCUUGCCAAUAUAAAAGGAAAUACAAAAUAAACAAAUUCUCUAAAUUGAAACUUUUAAAAAUUAAAAAGGGAAUUAAAUGGCAUGCUGCCAAUGUAUGUCAAGUUUCGGUACCGGCAUGGCAUGGAUUCUAGCAUUUGAAACCUUGGUCACAGAUGAUGCCACUGGUAGCUAGUAAGGGUCCUCCACUCCUCCCAAUAGAAAGUAUAAUAAAAUCCAUCGGUUAUUUGUCUACCAAGGACAAAGACCUGCCACUCUAAAUAUGUUGAUGAUGGCUUGACACUGGAAGCUAAACAACCUCAUGAGAGGUAUGGAUGGCUAUAAGCAAAUAUUGAAACUCCGAAGAAUAAAAUUUAGUUACUAACCAAUUAAAUCGAUCAGAAGCACAAGUCAUUGUUCAAGGUAGCG
rnacentral:lncRNA from 1 species